rnacentral:rRNA from 1 species
AACUUUCAACAACGGAUCUCUUGGCUCUCGCAUCGAUGAAGAACGCAGCGAAAUGCGAUAAGUAAUGUGAAUUGCAGAAUUCAGUGAAUCAUCGAAUCUUUGAACGCACCUUGCGCCCUUUGGUAUUCCGAAGGGCACACCUGUUUGAGCAUCGUGAAAUUCUCAACUCGCCCACCUUUUUUGGAG